rnacentral:lncRNA from 1 species
AACAACAAACAAACAAACAAACAUCCAAUGAAAACGUGACCGUACACUACAACGCUGUUUUGUUUAUUGAAGAGUAAAAUGGAGCAUCUAAUGCAGGGGCAGAUCUGUGCCUGUAUCUAUUCAGUGUAUGUCAAAUGAAAUGUUUAGGAUGGAACUUGUCUCCAUGGUAACCAAACAAUGGUGGAAAGACAGGUAUUGUUUCGGCAUCCUUCUGUAACAGCCAGUGGAAAAACCCAGCGUGGCUGCACAGAGCGCUCACAUGGAAGUGGGGAAUCUGGGGCAAAGACUCCUGUACUGAAGCUCCUGUCUUGUUCUCACACCAUGAAGCCACUACAUAAACACUUUCAACUGCACUUCCUCCAGUUAAAAAGUGCAUGCAUUUUUCAUGGUAUAAACUAAAUUGAUCUUCAACUUGUACAACUUUAAAAAAAAAGUCCUGUUGUUGCUGAUUUUAUGCCAGGAUUUUACUGUAAAGUCAUUAUUUCGUACAGCCUGUUCCUCAAAUAUAACAAACCUUUAAGCCACCGGUGAGGUCACUGCUUGUUGUUGUUGUGUUUUUUUUCUGUGGAAAUAUUGACUUGCGUGUGAUGGCGCACAGCGUGUAUCUUCACAUGAGUCUCUGUUUGUAAAACCAGCUGUGAAUCUUGCCAGACCUACAUAGGCUGAGCCAAAAUGUUUGACAACACCACUCCAGCUCCAGUCUGAAAUUAUACACCCACUAAAAUAAGAGCUGAACGUGAUGACACUUAACUAGAUGACCCUAAAUCUAAUGUUGGCUAUGAUGACACCACGUUGAGGUUCACAGUUUACAUUUGAUCUCUUUGGUUAUGUUGCAACUUCAGCUGCCAGGAUUCAGACACCUUAUUUAAGUAGUUUUGACUGAAAUGUCUCCACUGUUACUGCCUGCCAUGAAAACUGAAUUCAUUCAUGCAUCAAAUCAAACCCUUCAUCAAAUGUCAAAG